CCUACGGGGUGCAGCAGUAGGGAAUCUUCCACAAUGGGCGCAAGCCUGAUGGAGCAAUGCCGCGUGGGUGAAGAAGGUCUUCGGAUCGUAAAACCCUGUUGUUAGAGAAGAAAGUGCGUGAGAGUAAAUGUUCACGUUUCGACGGUAUCUAACCAGAAAGCCACGGCUAACUACGUGCCAGCAGCCGCGGUAAUACGUAGGUGGCAAGCGUUAUCCGGAUUUAUUGGGCGUAAAGGGAACGCAGGCGGUCUUGUAAGUCUGAUGUGAAAGCCUUCGGCUUAACCGGGGUAGUGCAUUGGAAACUGGGAGACGUGAGUGCAGAAGAGGAGGGUGGAACUCCAUGUGUAGCGGUGAAAUGCGUAGAUAUAUGGAAGAACACCAGUGGCGAAAGCGGCUCUCUGGUCUGUAACUGACGCUGAGGUUCGAAAGCGUGGGUAGCAAACAGGAUUAGAUACCCGAGUAGUC
rnacentral:rRNA from 1 species